GACGAAUUCUGGCGGCGUGCCUAAUACAUGCAAGUAGAACGCUGAAGAGAGGAGCUUGCUCUUCUUGGGUGAGUUGCGAACGGGUGAGUAACGCGUAGGUAACCUGCCUUGUAGCGGGGGAUAACUAUUGGAAACGAUAGCUAAUACCGCAUAACAAUGGAUGACACAUGUCAUUUAUUUGAAAGGGGCAAUUGCUCCACUACAAGAUGGACCUGCGUUGUAUUAGCUAGUAGGUGAGGUAAUGGCUCACCUAGGCGACGAUACAUAGCCGACCUGAGAGGGUGAUCGGCCACACUGGGACUGAGACACGGCCCAGACUCCUACGGGAGGCAGCAGUAGGGAAUCUUCGGCAAUGGGGGCAACCCUGACCGAGCAACGCCGCGUGAGUGAAGAAGGUUUUCGGAUCGUAAAGCUCUGUUGUAAGUCAAGAACGGGUGUGAGAGUGGAAAGUUCACACUAUGACGGUAGCUUACCAGAAAGGGACGGCUAACUACGUGCCAGCAGCCGCGGUAAUACGUAGGUCCCGAGCGUUGUCCGGAUUUAUUGGGCGUAAAGCGAGCGCAGCGGUUUGAUAAGUCUGAAGUUAAAGGCUGUGGCUCAACCAUAGUUCGCUUUGGAAACUGUCAAACUUGAGUGCAGAAGGGGAGAGUGGAAUUCCAUGUGUAGCGGUGAAAUGCGUAGAUAUAUGGAGGAACACCGGUGGCGAAAGCGGCUCUCUGGUCUGUAACUGACGCUGAGGCUCGAAAGCGUGGGGAGCGAACAGGAUUAGAUACCCUGGUAGUCCACGCCGUAAACGAUGAGUGCUAGGUGUUGGAUCCUUUCCGGGAUUCAGUGCCGCAGCUAACGCAUUAAGCACUCCGCCUGGGGAGUACGACCGCAAGGUUGAAACUCAAAGGAAUUGACGGGGGCCCGCACAAGCGGUGGAGCAUGUGGUUUAAUUCGAAGCAACGCGAAGAACCUUACCAGGUCUUGACAUCCCGAUGCUAUUUCUAGAGAUAGAAAGUUACUUCGGUACAUCGGUGACAGGUGGUGCAUGGUUGUCGUCAGCUCGUGUCGUGAGAUGUUGGGUUAAGUCCCGCAACGAGCGCAACCCCUAUUGUUAGUUGCCAUCAUUCAGUUGGGCACUCUAGCGAGACUGCCGGUAAUAAACCGGAGGAAGGUGGGGAUGACGUCAAAUCAUCAUGCCCCUUAUGACCUGGGCUACACACGUGCUACAAUGGUUGGUACAACGAGUUGCGAGUCGGUGACGGCGAGCUAAUCUCUUAAAGCCAAUCUCAGUUCGGAUUGUAGGCUGCAACUCGCCUACAUGAAGUCGGAAUCGCUAGUAAUCGCGGAUCAGCACGCCGCGGUGAAUACGUUCCCGGGCCU
rnacentral:rRNA from 1 species